AUACGUAGGGGGCGAGCGUUGUCCGGAAUGAUUGGGCGUAAAGGGCGCGUAGGCGGCGCGGUAAGUCUGGAGUGAAAGUCCUGCUUUCAUGGUGGGAAUUGCUUUGGAUACUGCCGCGCUUGAGUGCAGGAGAGGUUAUCGGACUUCCCGGUGUAGCGGUGAAAUGCGUAGAGAUUGGGAGGAACACCAGUGGCGAAGGCGACUUACUGGACUGUAACUGACGCUGAGGCGCGAAAGUGUGGGGAGCAAACAGGAUUAGAUACCCUGGUAGUCCACACUGUAAACGAUGAAUGCUAGGUGUAGGGGGUAUCGACCCCUUCUGUGCCGCAGUCAACACAAUAAGCAUUCCGCCUGGGGAGUACGGCCGCAAGGUUGAAACUCAAAGGAAUUGACGGGG
rnacentral:rRNA from 1 species